ensembl:lncRNA
GUUUUAGUUCAGAUCUAAUGAGACUGGACCCAAUUAUAAACUUGUUUAUGGUAGCUGAUAAGCUACAUAGAAAAAAUGGCUUCAAAGAGGCUGCUCUACAAGUUAUGGGAAGCAGCAUUAGAAUGAGAACGUGAAAUGGGGAGGUACUUAUCUGCCUUGGGUGCUUAGAGUUACAAAUAAAAGAAAAGAAAGGUGGCAGAUUUCCAUUUCAAGGAGCACUGCAAGGAAAAGAGCAAUGGACUUGAAGAAAUAUGGACUGAAGUGGUGCCAACUUUGCUAUUGCAUUCAAGAGUGUUAUGUGAAAGGGAGCAAUGAAGCAGCCGCAUAUGGGUCAAGGGCCAUCAAAAGGGACUUCAGAGCCUUGGGAUGACAGCUGAAGUAAUUGAAUGCACAGGUCAUCUUUUCUUCUCUGCCUCCUAUAUUGGGUCACACAGUCCUCAAAUGAUUGAUUUGGAAGGAGGGAACUGGGGAAACAACGUCCCUCCCACUAUAACCAAAGGUCAGGUUGAUGACCACGUGAAGAACCUGAACAUCCAGAAGUCUGUGAGUCCCAAUGAGAUGUAUCCCAGAGUCUUGAGGGAAUUGGCUGAUGUACUCACCAAGCCACUCUCAAUGAUAUUUGAAAAGUCAUGACAGUGAGGUGAAGUCCCUGGUGACUGGAAAAAAGGCAACAUCACAUUCGUUUUUGAGAAGGGUGAAAAAUAUGAUCCUGGGAACUACCAACCUGUCAAUCUCACCUGUGUGCCAGAAAAAAAUCAUGAAGCAGAUCCUCUUGGAAGCUAUUCUAAGGCACAUGGAAGACAGAGAUGAUACGACAGAACCAGCAUGGCUUCACCAAAGGCAAAUAUUGCUUGAACAACCUAAUGUCCUUUUAUGAUUUUGUCACUGCAUCAACAGACAAGGGAAGAGCCAUUGAAGUCAUCUACCUGAACUUCAGUAAGGCUUUUGACACAGUAGCUCACAACAUCCUUCUCUCCAAACUGGAAAGCUAUGGAUUUGAUGGGUGGACUGUUUGAUGGGCAAAGAACUGGCUGCAGGGUCUAAUCCAGAGUGGUGGUUGAUAGCUCCAUGUCAGAAUGGAGAUCAGUGAUGAAUGGUGCCCCCAGGUGCUAGGAAGGAAACUCUUUAAUAUCUUCAUCAGUUACUUCAACAGAGGGUUCAUGUGCACCCUCAGCAAGUUUGUGGAUGACACAAAGGUGUGGAGCAUGGACAACACACCUGAGGGUUGGGAUGCCAUUCACAGGGAUCUAGACAGGCUUGAGCAGUGGGCCCAGAAGAACCUCAUGAGUCUUGCAUCUGGGUCAAAGCAACCUCCACUUACCAGUACAAGCUGGGGGUGAAAAGACUGAGCACACACUGACAGGUUGAGGGACGUGAUCCUGACCCUCUGCUCUGAGCUGAUGAGGUCUCAUCUGGAGAAUUGCAUUCGUAUGUGGAG